UACGUAGGUGGCAAGCGUUGUCCGGAAUUACUGGGUGUAAAGCGCGUGUAGGCGGGAGGCCAAGUCUGCUGUGAAAUCGCUCGGCUCAACUGGGCGGGGUCGGUGGAAACUGGUCACCUGGAGGACGGUAGAGGCGAGUGGAAUUCCCGGUGUAGUGGUGAAAUGCGUAGAGAUCGGGAGGAACACCAGUGGCGAAGGCGGCUCGCCGGGCCGGUCCUGACGCUGAGACGCGAAGGCGUGGGGAGCGAACGGG
rnacentral:rRNA from 1 species